GGGAUAACAGGCUAGUUCCGCCUAAGCGUUCAUAGCGACGGCGGAGUUCGGCACCUCGAUGUCGGCUCACCACAUCCUGGGGGUGGAGAAGCUCCCAAAGGUUUGGCUGUUCGCCAAUUAAAGUGGUACGCGAGCUGGGUUCAGACCGUCGUGAGACAGGUUGGUCUCCUAUCUGCUGCAGGCGUUGAUGCUUGAGGGGAAUUGAUUCUAGUACGAGAGGACCGAAUUGAACGAACCUCUGGUCUGCCUGCUGCCGCACCCGCGGCACCGCAGGGUAGCUAUGUUCGGAUCGGAUAAGCGCUGAAAGCAUAUAAGCGCGAAGCCAGCCCCAAGAUUAGGCAUCGGUGAGGCCCCUGGAAGAUGACCAGGUUGAUAGGCUUUAGGUGUACGCGCAGCAAUGCGUUGAGCCGUGAAGUACUAAUCCGCCGAUCCUGUUAGGAAC
rnacentral:rRNA from 1 species